rnacentral:rRNA from 1 species
UACGUAGGGGCUAGCGUUAUCCGGAAUUACUGGGCGUAAAGGGUGCGUAGGUGGUUCCUUAAGUCAGAGGUUAAAGGCUACGGCUCAACCGUAGUAAGCUUUUGGAACUGUAAGACUUGAGUGCAGGAGAUGAGAGUGGAAUUCCUAGUGUAGCGGUGAAAUGCGUAGAUAUUAGGAGGAACACCAGUAGCGAAGGCGGCUCUCUGGACUGUAACUGACGCUGAGGCACGAAAGCGUGGGGAGCAAACAGGAUUAGAUACCCUGGUAGUCCCUGA